UACGUAGGUGGCGAGCGUUGUCCGGAUUUACUGGGUGUAAAGGGCGAGUAGGCGGGUAAACAAGUCAGAUGUGAAAUACCGAGGCUCAACUUCGGGGCUGCAUUUGAAACUGUUUAUCUUGAGUGAUGGAGAGGCAGGCGGAAUUCCCAGUGUAGCGGUAAAAUGCAUAGAGAUUGGGAGGAACACCAGUGGCGAAGGCGGCCUGCUGGACAUCAACUGACGCUGAGGAGCGAAAGUGUGGGGAGCAAAC
rnacentral:rRNA from 1 species